AACGAACGCUGGCGGCAUGCCUAACACAUGCAAGUCGAACGAGACCUUCGGGUCUAGUGGCGCACGGGUGCGUAACGCGUGGGAACCUGCCCUUAGGUUCGGAAUAACUCCCCGAAAGGGGUGCUAAUACCGGAUAAUGUCUUCGGACCAAAGAUUUAUCGCCUUUGGAUGGGCCCGCGUUGGAUUAGCUAGUUGGUAGGGUAAAAGCCUACCAAGGCGACGAUCCAUAGCUGGUCUGAGGGGAUGAUCAGCCACACUGGGACUGAGACACGGCCCAGACUCGUACGGGGGGAGGGGGGGGGGAAUAUUGGAAAAGGGGCGAAGGCCUACUCAACAAUUGCGGGGGGAGUGUGGAGGGCCUUGGGGUUGAAAAGCUUUUUUCCCGGGGCGGAUAAGGAAAGACGCGGGAAAAAAGGCCCCGGCAAACCCCGUC
rnacentral:rRNA from 1 species